rnacentral:rRNA from 1 species
GAGACAGUUCGGUCCCUAUCCGUCGCAGGCGUAGGAAAUUUGAGAAGACCUGUCCUUAGUACGAGAGGACCGGGAUGGACGUACCUCUGGUGUACCAGUUGUCCUGCCAAGGGCAUGGCUGGGUAGCGAUGUACGGAAUGGAUAAGCGCUGAAAGCAUCUAAGCGCGAAGCCAACUUCAAGAUAAGAUUUCCCACCGCAAGGGUAAGACCCCAGAAAGACUAUCUGGUUG